rnacentral:tRNA from 2 species
GCGGAUGUGGUGGAAUUGGUAGACACGCUAGAUUCAGGUUCUAGUGCUGGCAACAGCAUGAAGGUUCAAGUCCUUUCAUCCGCA